CCUACGGGUGGCAGCAGUGGGGAAUAUUGGACAAUGGGGGAAACCCUGAACCAGCGACGCCGCGUGAGUGAAGAAGGAUCUCGGAACGUAAAGCUCUAUCAGUAGGAAAGAAAAUGACGGUACGUGACUAAGAAGCCACGGCUAACUAGGUGACAGCAGCCGCUGUACUACGUAGGGGGCAAGCGUUAUCCGGAUUUACUGGGGGUAAAGGGUGUGUAGGCGGUUGAGAAAGUCUGGAGUGAAAGGCCGGGGCCCAACCCCGGAACUGCGUGGGAAACUGUGAGGCUGGAGUGCAGUAGGGGUAGGCGGAAUUCCUGGUGUAGCGGUGAAAUGCGUAGAUAUCAGGAAGAACACCGACUGCGAAGGCGGCUUACUGGACUAUUACUGACGUUGAGGCUCGAAGGCGUGGGGAGCAAACAGGAUUAGAUACCCUUGUAGUC
rnacentral:rRNA from 1 species